rnacentral:misc_RNA from 1 species
CCCAACCACAGUAAAGUGCCUAUGCCUGAUCCCCAAAACCUUCCUCCUUCUGAUCCUUCUUCUUCUUCUUCUUCUUCUAAAAUUCCUUCUGAAAUCAAAAAUGGCAACACCAACGGUAACGCGAACUUCUCGGCCCAAAGGGUCCGCUACCCGCACCCGCCCGACGCGGCAAACCCGGACCAGGCAACGCUGAGGGAACAGUGGAGGUUUGCGAUACGGCAGUACAGCAGAUGGGACUCCCACGGACAGCAAUUCUCGCGGGUCUCUCUUUCUUUGCUUUGGGUUGGAUUAUCAAGGGCGAAAAUCCUCUUCCCUCUUUCAAGAAUGAUGAUUCCUCUUCUGCCUCUUCUCCUCCUAAUGAUGCCAAUGAAUCUCGCCGGUGAUAAUUGCCAUAAGAAAAAUGAAGAUGAAGACAUAACAUCAGCUGGUCUAGGUAUAAAUUUUCUGCUGGUUUUGAUGUACAAUGUCAUAUUGAAUCAUAUGUUGUUGGAGUGUAGAGUAAUUUUAUCAACUUGUGUCAUAUGUUGUUGAGUCUUUGAUUAUUUGGUCUUUGCUACCUUUUGGCAUGCUCAAAAUAUAUAAUGCUUACAUGCAUGUAAUGCAAUAUAAGGAAAUUCUCACAGAAGCGGGUGUUGUAGAUCUUGAUGAGAUCACUUCUUAUAAUGUUUUAUGAAAAACAUUGGCUUUU